rnacentral:rRNA from 1 species
AGGACGAACGCUGGCGGCGUGCUUAACACAUGCAAGUCGAGCGGAAAGGCCCUUCGGGGUACUCGAGCGGCGAACGGGUGAGUAACACGUGAGCAACCUGCCCCUGGCUCUGGGAUAGCCUCCGGAAACGGGGAUUAAUACCGGACAUUCACUUCCUUCCGCAUGGUUGGUGGUGGAAAGUUUUUCGGCCGGGGAGGGGCUCGCGGUCUAUCAGCUUGUUGGCGGGGUAACGGCCCACCAAGGCGACGACGGAUAGCCGGCCUGAGAGGGCGAUCGGCCACACUGGGACUGAGACACGGCCCAGACUCCUACGGGAGGCAGCAGUGGGGAAUAUUGCACAAUGGGCGCAAGCCUGAUGCAGCGACGCCGCGUGGGGGAUGAAGGCCUUCGGGUUGUAAACCCUUUCACCAGGAGCGAAUUCAGACGGUACCUGGGGAAGAAGCGCCGGCUAACUACGUGCCAGCAGCCGC